AUGCCAUGGACUACUCAGUGCAGUGAUAAAUUGUGCUCACUCCCAUGUCAGCACUUGGCAAUUGAUGGCACUGGUGGGGUUGAAGCCUCACAGCUCAUGGUGUGUUCUCAUUCUCUGUGUGCUUUUCCUGGUGCACUGAAGCUCCCAUGCUCUCCUGCAGCAGAAGUCUGGAAUUUGCCCUGCCAGAUCUGCUUGAGGUGGAAUGUGGAGCUCUGGAACAGCAGAGAAGGAGUUUCAGUCCUCUUCUUUACCUGGAGAGCUUCAGUCCGGUCCACCAUGGUCCAUCUCAAAGAGCACAUGUCUGACAAACUGGUUUGA
rnacentral:lncRNA from 1 species